ACUGCCGGUGACAAACCGGAGGAAGGUGGGGAUGACGUCAAAUCAUCAUGCCCCUUAUGACCUGGGCUACACACGUGCUACAAUGGGAAGUACAACGAGUCGCGAAGUCGCGAGGCUAAGCUAAUCUCUUAAAGCUUCUCUCAGUUCGGAUUGCAGGCUGCAACUCGCCUGCAUGAAGCCGGAAUCGCUAGUAAUCGCGGA
rnacentral:rRNA from 1 species